CAUCACCAUCAUCGUCCUAAAUAGUCUUUCAGGAGGAGUGGUUUAUUUUCUGGAAGACUUUCUUCCAGGAGUGCCGUAAAGAUUUACAUAAGACCCUUGGAAGAAUAAAACGGAUACUUCCAAGGGUUUUUUA
rnacentral:sRNA from 1 species